CUACUACUCCCUCCGUUCGGAAUCAUUUGCCACAAAAAUGGAUAAAAAUAGAUGUAUCUACAACUAAAAUACAUCUAGAUACCUUCAAUUUUUGGACGAGUAAUUCCGGACGGAGGGAGUACCUC
rfam:Triticum aestivum genome assembly, contig: Triticum_aestivum_CS42_TGACv1_scaffold_032494_1BL